UUCUCCUAUUCACUUUCUAAAAAUAAAUCAUAAUUUGAUCUUUUAUAUAGCUUUAAUAUAAAUUACUAUCUUCUUCUCCAAUCUCUACUUUUCUUCUUAAGCAUGAAAUUUUCUAAGUAGCGUACAUGUCCCCCCUAGAUCUGCUACUACUUGACUUCCUCAUCUAUUGCAUAUCACCCUUCUGUUGCCUCGCCUUGCUACCCUCAUUAAUUUUGCUGCAUUCAAAUUUUGGCAUUCCAUACCUUGCCUGCCCUAUAUUAUUGAUAUAACUUGUCCGGAACCAUCUAGAUUGAAACUUGCGCAACUCAGAUUGGUCCAACAAAGUAUGUCAUUGAUCUCUGGAUUUUAUUUAUUUUUUAUUUUUUUAUUUUUUAAGUCUCCAAUAUACCUUUAAGAAAGAUUAUUACGGGCCCUUUUAGAAUUCUUUCUUACUCUAUUCUUUCUUAGAAAUAGUAUAUUAAAAAAAUUACUAUUAUUGAUAUAUUUAUUUAAUUCUAAAG
rnacentral:lncRNA from 1 species